GGCCUGGUCGGAAACCAGGCCACCUAUGGAG
rnacentral:ncRNA from 1 species